rnacentral:tRNA from 1 species
GGGGAGAUACCAAAGUGGCCAACUGGGGCGGACUGUAACUCCGCUGACUUCGUCUUCGUAGGUUCGAAUCCUGCUCUCCCCACCA